UUUAAAACAUACAACACCCCAGCAGCCCAGCAAUUCCACUACUUAUUAGCCUAGAGAAAUGCUUUAUGUGUUAAUAUGGUUUGGCUCUGUGUCCCCACCCAAAUCUCACCUCGAAUUGAAAUCCUCAUUUGCCCAGGUGUCAAGGGUGGGACCAGUUGGAGGUAAUUGGAUCAUGGGGGUGGUUUCCCCCAUGCUGUUCUUCUGAUAGUGAGUGAGUUCUCAUGAGAUCUGAUGGUUUUAUAGGCAUCUGGUGUUUCCCCUGCUUGUACUCACUUCAUCCUGCUGCCCGGUACCUGCUUCUCCUUUGCCUUCCACCAUGAUUGCAUGCCGUGAACUGGAAAAUGUUUUUGAAAUCAAGGAAAAGCAGCAAAAAGGAAGGCGUUACCAUGGAACUGAGAGAGGAGAUACAAAUCUUUGUUCCUGAUGGUCUUGUUCCCACCUGCCUGGGUGCUGCAGCUCUGUGCUGCCUGAGAAAGCCAGUGACCAAGAGGAGCAGAAGACUAGCAGGUAUCAAGUGCUUUGGGUUGACUAUGAAGAGCUAGAAAAGAAACUCAGUAUUCACCCAUCCAAAUUUUCAAGGAAAAAAGCAAGAAAAGCAUGCAUAUGCACAACACCUAAGACAUAACAAAACAGGAAUCACUUACCUGUUACGAUUGCCUAAGUCGACCUUCCAACCACGAUGGCCGUUGAAGAGAUGCCAUCAAGCCAGGGUCUCUGCUUCUCCCUGCUGCAGCCUGUAUCCGAGACUGGCUUCCUGACCUGCACCUCGGUGAAAGGAAGGAAAGAGAAGGGGAAAUAGAAACAGAAGCAAUGUGUGAAAGAUCCAGUUGCUCUACGUCCUUGCUAGCAGUUGGUAUGGUAAGUAUUUUCAAAAUUUUAUCUAUCCAAAUAGAUGGGUAGUGGCAGCUCAUUGUGGCUUUAAUUUGCAUUUUCCUAAUGGCUAACUUUCCUAAUCUUUUCAUGUACUUAUUUGCCAUACGUAUCUUUUUUGGUUAAAUGUCUGUUCAUAUGUUUUGCCUGCCAAUUUCUUUUCUUGUUAGUGAGUUUUGAGAGUUCCUUAUAUAUUCUACAUACAAGUCUUUUAUUAGAUAUAUGAUCUGCAAAUGUUUUCGCCCACUUUGUGGCUUCUCUAUUCUGUUCUCUUACAAGUAUUUUUCAAACAGCAGAAAUUCUUAAUUAAAUUUAUUUAGUUUUCCUUCUCUAACUGUGCUUGGUUGUCAUGUCUAAGAAAUUGUUGGCAGACCCCAACAGCAAAGAUUAUUUUCCCAGUUUUUGCUAGAUGCUUUAUAGUUUUUGAUUAGUGAAGAUAUUAUGAUUGGAGAAGAAAAUUCAGGGGCUUUAAAAAUACUGUCAUAGUUCUAUUUUGUUUAACCUGCUUGGUAUUUACAUGGGUGCUUGCUUUAUUAUUUUUUUAAAUGUUAUAUAUCUGUACAUCUCUGGGUAUGUUUACAGUAAAAAAUUAGAAAACGAGUAUGACAAAAAUUUGACAUCCAUUCAUGUCAUAGGAAAAAUAAGCUGUAAAUAUUAUACUUAAUGGAGAAAGAUUCGCAGCAUUCUCUUUGAAGUACAGUAGACAAGUAUGCUCACCAUAACGGCUUGUAUUCAACAUUGUUUCAGAGGGCCUGGCUAUAUCAGUAAAAUAAAAAUCAGAACAAAUAAAUAUUCACAAUGAUUAUAAAGGAAUGAUAAAAACAAAAUAAAGGUGAUAGGAUUAUUUCUAUAUAAUGUC